GUGGGGAAUAUUGGACAAUGGGGGGAACCCUGAUCCAGCCAUGCCGCGUGUGUGAAGAAGGCCUUUUGGUUGUAAAGCACUUUAAGCGAGGAGGAGGCUACCGAGAUUAAUACUCUUGGAUAGUGGACGUUACUCGCAGAAUAAGCACCGGCUAACUCUGUGCCAGCAGCCGCGGUAAUACAGAGGGUGCAAGCGUUAAUCGGAUUUACUGGGCGUAACGCGCGCGUAGGUGGCCAAUUAAGUCAAAUGUGAAAUCCCCGAGCUUAACUUGGGAAUUGCAUGUGAUACUGGUUAGCUAGAGUAUGUGAGAGGAUGGUAGAAUUCCAGGUGUAGCGGUGAAAUGCGUAGAGAUCUGGAGGAAUACCGAUGGCGAAGGCAGCCAUCUGGCCUAAAACUGACACUGAGGUGCGAAAGCAUGGGGAGCAAACAGGAUUAGAAACCCGUGUAGUCC
rnacentral:rRNA from 1 species